ACAAGAGCCAUUCUCUCCGAGAAGGCUUAGCGAUGGGUCCAGACUCGGACCAACUUUGAUGAUGUUUUUGCUGGUAAUCGUAGCACUAAAAAUGCUAUCAUCGGCCCACAAUGACUAGCCCAGUGCCUUUCCAAUAUAAAGAUAAAAUUAGACCGUCACAAUCGGCAUCGGACUGGGCUUGAAACCUGGCUGAAAUCAGCUUUAUCUGUCUGUAUUAUA
rnacentral:misc_RNA from 1 species